rnacentral:lncRNA from 1 species
GUUCAUCUAUUUAUAGGCACAGGACGCAGCCUAUGAGAAAUUACAUUUAUGUCCUUUACAAAGGUUUACAAUCAUAAUACAAGUUAUCACGGGCCGAUUGGUCAUUUCAUCUUUAAGUCGGUGCAUUUGGAAAUGUACUCCGAAGCCCUCUGAUUGAUAGCUUCGGCUUUGUGCCAUUCUUCCGAAGGUGUUUCUUCUUAUGGGACCUUCGGCGACGAAGCAGGCUCCCAACAGUAGCCCCUUCACGGUGCCAGAUCGUUUUUCGUAACGAGCUCGACCCGUGAAAAACUCUCUAAGGCUUCGGAAUGCCGAAGGUCUGAAAAACACCUUUCCUGAGCUCGUUGCCAGGAAACGAUUUAAAUAUUCCGAGUGAAGGAUGGUCCCACCAUGCAGUGGGUACGCGCGAUCUGGUGAUUCAGCUUCUUGGGCACUAUGGUCCACCGUUCAGCGAGUGCGGGUGACUGUUCAGCGGGUGCGAGCGACUUGACAAUUCACCUUCCCACCUGCAGCACUAUAUAAACAGACGGGUAGUUGUGAAGUUACCAUAGCAUUUACUGCUAUUGUACUGUUGUGCUGCCGAAAAAUUUGACCACCGUCGAAGCUUAUUCACCGUAUUCUCAAUCAAAGGAUCACUUUGCUCUAGCUUCGUGAAAAGAGGGAGCUUCGUCAAAAAUACUCAACUUCGUUAAAACGCAAGAAAUUCAACAUCAAAUGGCCAGAGUGCGCUCAACAGCUAGGGUUACCCAUGACGGAGAGGAAGCCGAAGCUACUGAAACUGCUCCAAUCUCCGAAGUUAUGAGGCGGUCGGGACUAGUUGUAACUGAGGGCUCUCCUGACGAAGGUGCCCCUGCUACUGAAACGGAGCAGGCAGACAUUGAAGAAGGUGAUAUUGGUGAAGAAGAGAUUGAUUAUAACACCGCUAUGCCAUCGAAGCCCAGCCAUUUGGAUUUUGGAAAGUCAACUGUGUCUGAAGCUGAUAUGGCUAUGAUGACGAAGCUAGGCUACUUCAGAGAAGCCGACAUGGGGUUGAUUCACUUUGGUGGGGAAGAAACUAUCCCAAAACCAUAAAAUGAUGAAGUGGUGGUCUUUAAGAGCUUCUUCAAAGCAGGGCUGAGAUUUCCUCUGCACGGGAUGAUUGGAGAUGUCUUGGAAAAUUUUGAGAUUUACCUUCAUCAGCUGACCCCUAACGCCAUUGUUAGGCUCAGCGUUUACAUCUGGGCCCUCCGAAGUCAAGGGGUGGAGCCACUCGCCGAAGCUUUCUGCUGAGUACAUGAACUUCACUAUCAGACGAAGGCUAGGGAAGACGGACUGCAUGAGAACUUCGGCUGCUACAACUUUGCUUAUCGCAAAGACAUGAAGACAUCGGUGGUCAGCUAUCGCACUAAAUGGCCGACCGGUUGGAAAUCUGAAUGGUUUUAUGUUAAGAUUGAUGAGAAAAAAGAGAAGCUAGUACAGAGCCCGCUGGAGUUAACCUUCGGGCUGACUAGGCCUCAGUGCAACAUGACGCCGGGGGGCACCAUGCCCAGAUGCUGUGUAUGAGUUUAGAGUUGUAUCUGAACACAUUGGAACUAGGGAUUUAGUUCAAGAAUACUUGGCCAACCGAGUAUUCCCGACGCUGAGGGAGUGGGGUAUGCCGAAGCUUGAAAAAGAGAAGAAGAAGAAUGAACUCGUUCGGCUACCCUAUCAUUUCAAGUUCAAGAAACAGUUCAAAGAACCCUGCCAAGAAUGGUUAGAUACAAUUGAAGUUAUGUGCAACGAGAUUUUGGGCAAUUAUACGAGAAAAGAAGAUCAGUUGAUGACUGUAGCCUUCGGCACCCGACCGAAGCGAAGAUUGAAUCGGGUAAUUGAUGCCCUGAAUUUUGAAUAUCCAGACUAUGAGCAAUUGAACAAGGGUGCCGAAGGGCAGAAAAGAAAAAGAAUUGUUAGUGUUGUGGACAGACAGGCUGCUAGAAUGGUGAAAGAGGAUGAAGAAAUCUUUAAGAAGAGAAAAUUAAGCCCUGAGCCGAAGGUAGUCGCUCCGAAGAAAAUAAAAGCUACGACCCCGAAACAGAAGGCAACUGAUAAGGAAGAAGAGGCUCCUUCAACACCUUCCGCUGCCGACGCGGAAGAAAUUCUAAAGAUAAUGACUGAAUCCUUGCCUAACAAGCUAAGUCCACUAGGGCCACAUCUGACGAAGCUUUUACAGAAGAAGAAGGAGCCCUCGGCAACGAAGAAGUCUGUUGGGCCGAAAAAACGAAGAAUUAUUACUGUGACAGAGGCCAUUGAAGAAACACCACCACUAGCUUCGGCGUUAAAAGCACCAGCUGUUGAGAGCGCUGCAUCUACCGAAGCUGCACCUGCUGAAGCCACAAUUGCCGAAGCUGCAACGGCCAAGGAUGCAAACUUAGAAAGCACACUUUCUGAUAUAGAUAAAAUACUCCUGGAUAUGGCCACAGAAGAAGUUGCUACAGCCGCCGAAGAAACCAUGGCUACAGUGCCUGGGAAAGAAAAGGAAAUAGUCGAAGAUACUUCAGAAGAUUUCAACUUUUAAAACUUAAUUGGACAAGAAUUGUCGAAAGCUGAAAAAGAAGAAUUGAGAGACUAUGCCAUAUCCUGCGGGUAUCAACCAGGGGCGCUACUCUUCGGCGGCAUUGAUGAUGAGAGCUUAGGUUGUGUCCGAGACCAAACCGGGGCGAAGGUUAUCGGUACUCUGUCGAAGAGUAUUGGUUUUCCGAAGCUUGAGACCGAUAUCAGUCGCUACCAACGACAACAUAUCGUCGGUAGUUUAUUCUAUUCCAAUUUCAAGGUAAAAAAUUUUCUUCGACUCUUCAUUAUUUUUAACAACGAAGGUAUUUUCUAACGAAGGUUGCUUCUGUACAGAGUAUGUUAUUGAGCAAAGCUUUGAGGAUGCAACAGGACCUUGAAGAUAAAAAGCACGAAGUUAUAAUUGAAGGGUUAGAAAGCAAAAUAAAAGAUCAAACCGCUGCUCUUGAAAAGAAAGAUGUCGAACUUCGGACAAUGGAAAGUUUACUGGCGGAAGCUGAAGCCAAAAUUGCAAAGCUGGAUAAGGAGCUUCUCUCAAAAUCAAAGAGUUUCGAACAAGAAAAACGGAAAUUUGAUACAAAGUUUGCAGCUGAGGCUGAAAAAAGUUCAAAUUUGCAAAAAAUCAUUGAAAGAGCUUCAAGAUAAAUGUCUAGAGUUCAGCAACCGAUGUGUGCAGCGGCUAAGGCAGAUCUUCAACUCGGUUGGAGCCAGCUCUGAGAAAUUUAGUCCUUCGGUUCAAGACCUGCCAGGGACCUUCGAACACAUUGAGGGCGAAGUUGAUGCUCUUCAUGAAGUUAUAGCUGGAACGGUGAUUUCUGUGCCCUGCUAGCUUCUCGGGGCACAGCUGUUGCCUUCAUGAAGUCCGGUUGCACGCAUGGGAAAAUUGUUAAUAGACCAAACUUCAGCUUAUCACCAGCAGAUCUGAUUGAUAUCCCCAGCCUAGCUCGAAGCAUAGGAAACAGAUUCAUAAAGCAAAUAUGGACGAAGGGUGGGCGAAGCCUAGCUGGUGACGAAGCUCGAAGUCAUCUUAAGCCGGUAAUAAAAUCAUACCUUGUGCUUACCUUUUACUUGAAACUUGAAUUUUCCUUAUAAUGCUUCGAUGUGUAUAGGAUGACGAAGCUGAAGAACACAGAGCCGAAGCUUAGCAGGCAACCCGAAGCUCAACAGAUGGUGAUGAAGCUGGAAUAUCUAGUUGUGUAAAAAUUCUAAGAAAACUUUUGUAUUAACCCUUGUAAAGAAUAUUGUAAUUUAAGAAUCAGAUUCUACUCUGUAAAUUUGUCCAUACCUUGUAAUAUAUUUUUACCUUUCCAUUGAUGUAUGAAAUGCUUUGGUGGUCGAAACCUGUAUUUUUGAGCCGAAGGCGAAAAACACCUUCCCUUCUUUUCGAACACAACGAAGCAUGAAUCUGCUUCUUGAAGCUGUAUGCUUAGAGCCGAAGCAACUGUCUGUAUCUGUAUGAUGUGAUGAUGAUCCUAUGUAUGUCUAAAUGAAUGUUUAUGAAUUUAAUGUAUGAUGUAAUGUAUCGUGCAAAUGAAUGCCCAAACACACACAUUCGAAGCUUCAUCCACAAACUUCAUUCCCUUAGGAAUGUCUGAAAUCUCUUUGUCGUUUAUUUUUCGGCUGCAUUACUUAUUUUUCGGUGUAAGUUCUGCAUCCCCUUAGGAACGUCUUUUGAACUUCUUCGCCUUCUAUUUCGGCGGUAUUCGCGUUGACGUUUCGCGCUUCGCCUUAUAUUUCGGCGGUAUUUGGCUCUGCAUUCCCUUAGGAACGACUUUUGAGCAGAAAACUUACGCUGCGCUCCCUUAGGAACGGCUUUUUGUAGCUUCGUCAUGCUCUGCAUCCCCUUAGGGACGACAUUCGAGCUUCUCCCUGUUUUUCUUUUUCUCUGCACUCGAUGGUGCAUGCUCAGGUUUUACAUUUACAUAUUUGGGGGAUAUUGCUCUCAUGGAGCUGAAUAAGAAAAGAAAAAAAUUACAAACUAUGGCCCCAUUAAAAACCUCUCUCCCCCUUUGGAAAGGAAAAGGGUGCCAUAGAAAAAUGAAAAAUAUUACAUCAAUCUAUACAUAAUAUCGUCGAAGCUCAUCCGCGUUCCAAGAUCUAGGAAUGUCAUUGCCAUCCAUAUCCUUUAAUUUGUAAGAAUCGGGCCUUGACGAAGAUACUACCAAAAAAGGUCCUUCCCACUUCAGCUGUAGUUUGCCUACUGUGUCUGGAUUAGCCACUCUCCGAAGCACCAAAUGUCCUGGCUUGAUAUUUUUCAGUCGAACUUUUCUGUCACGCCAUUUUAUUGUUUCGGCUUGAUAUUUAUUAAUAUUUUCCAUAGCCUGAAGUCUUACCCCUUCUAUAGUGUCUUUUGCCACAUGAUAAUCAGCUUCGUCUUCUACCGAAGUUGUUGUUCUUAUUGACCCUGUUUUAGCUUCUUCUGGAGUUAUAGCUUCGUCGCCAAAUAGUAACUUGAAUGGCGUGAAACCUGUUGAUCUUGAUACAGUCGUAUUGUGGCUCCACACCACUUUAAUCAACUCUUCUGACCACUUUCCUCUAGGCUGAUUAAAAAUUAACUUCAUUAUUCCUGUCAUUAUAAUACCAUUUGCUAUUUCGACAAGUCCAUUUGACUCUGGAUGUCUGACUGACGCAAAAUGAAUCUUCGUGCCGAUUUGAUCACAGAAUUCCUUGAAAGCUUCGGCAUCAAACUGUGUUCCGUUGUCCACAGUUAUAGCCUUCGGUACGCCGAAACGAUAAACAAUGUUUUGCCAAAAGAAUUUCUAGACUGUGACCGAGGUUAUUGUGGCCAAAGGCUUUGCUUCAAUCCACUUAGAAAAAUACUCCACAACCACCACAACAUAUAUUAAAUUGCCUUGUGCUGGUGGAAGUGGACCUAAUAAAUCCAGGCCCCAUCUUUGCAAUGGCCAAGUUGGUUGUAUUAAUUGGGUUAGCGACGAAGGUUGUUUCUGGUCUCUUGCACAUUUUUGACAACUUUCACACUUUUGAACCAGAUCCGUUGCAUCCGAAGCUGCAUUCGGCCAAUAAAAUCCUUGUCUGAAGACCUUCCCUAGCAAAAGGUCUAGAUCCAAUAUGAGAUCCACACAAGCCUGCAUGUAUUUCCUUCAUCAGCUCUAUACCUUCGGUUCUGGAUAGACACUUGAGAAGUGGAGAGCAGACUCCGUGUUUGUAUAACUCCCCUUCUAUUAUUACAUAUGGUCUUGUUCUUGCCUCCAUUCUCUUAUUAUAAGCUUCAUCAUCUGAAAGGCAGUUACCUUGGAGAAAAGAUAUAAUCUCAGUCCUCCAAUCUUCACUAUGAACAGGAGAUAUAUUGAGCACUGCUCUUUCGAGAAGUUACACCGAAGGUGCUCUUAUUGUCUCAAAGAAUACUUCUGAAGGUAGAGGCAGCCCCUGUGCCGCUGACUUGGCUAGUAGAUCGGCGUGCUCGUUUUCUCCUCGUGGAAUAUUCUUGACAGAAAACCCUUCGAAAGAGGCUUCAAGCCUUCAAACUGUGUCCAGGUAUUUCUCAAGCUUCCGAUCUCUUGCCCUGCAACUCUUGUAAAUAUGACCAGAAAUAACUUGGGAAUUGGUUUUAAGGACCGCCCUUCUUAUCCCCAUUGCUUUUAACUUCCGAAGCCCCAAAAGCAUCGUAUUCAGCAAUAUUAUUUGUGCAGCUGAAGUCAAGCUUUAUUGCAUAGCAUGUUCUGACUUUGGAAGGUGCAGCUAAGACGACAACCGCACCUGCCUCGAAGAUUCCCCAGGAAUCGUCGCAGAACACUGUCCAAGCUUCGACAUCUUUAUUUGCUUCUUCUUCCAGAGCCCCUGGCGUCCAAUCAGCGAUGAAGUCUGCUAACGCCUAUGACUGAAUUGAGGAUCUAUGCACAUAAUCAAUGCUGAAUUCAUUGAGUUCCGCAGCCCACUUCCCAAUUCUUUCAGUAGCUUCUCUAUUCCUCAUGAUAUCCUUCAGAGGCUGUGAUGAAGGAACAAUUAUAUGGAAUGCUUGAAAAUAAUGUCGAAGCUUUAUGGAGGCCAUUAAGACAGCAUACAACACCUUCUCCAACUCUGUAUAAUUUUUCUUUGAUAAGCUUAGAACUUCGGAGACAAAGUAUACUGGGGCUUGCUUUUUGAUUUGUCCUUCCAAUUUCUCCUGCACAAGCGCCACACUCACUGCAGAAUGCGAAGCUACCACAUACAACAGUAACGAAGCCCCUGGCGCAGGUGGAGUUAGUGUUGUUAUAUCAAUUAAGUAUUGCUUCAGCUUUUCGAAGGCUUUCUAUUGAGCUGGUCCCCAUUGAAAGACUUCGACUAACUUUAGUAUUUCAAAGAAUGGCAAGUUUCUUUCUGAUGAUCUAGAUAUAAAUUUAUUCAAUGAAGCCAGCCUUCCUGCCAGCCGUUGGGCCCCCUUCUUUGUGCUCGGCGGUUCCAUUCGAAGGAUGGCUUCGAUCUUGCUUGCAUUAGCUUCAAUCCCCUUCAUUGAAACCAGACAGCCAAGGAACUUACCCUUCUUCACUCCAAAGACACACUUUUUAGGAUUUAAUUUCAGGCCAGCUUGUCUGAAAUUGGCAAAUGUUUCUAGCAGAUCAGUGAUGUGAUUUUCUUGCUUCGUGCUUUUUACUAUGAUAUCAUCAACAUAUGUUAGCACAUUUCUGCCUAUCUGGGAAUGGACCUUGGCCGUCAUCCUGCUGAAACUGCCUCCAGCAUUUUUGAGCCCCUCAGGCAUCCGAAGAUAGCAAUAGGUUCCACUGGGAGUUAUGAAGCUAGUCUUCGGCUCAUCCUCCUUCUUCAUCCAUAUUUUAUGAUAUCCUGAGUAGCAAUCCAGAAGACUCAUAAGUUCUGAAGAAGCUGCUGCAUCCACAAGAGAGUCUAUCCUUGGUAAUGGAAAUUCGUCCUUCGGACAGGCCUUGUUGAGAUCUGUGAAAUCAAUACACAUUCUCCAUUUGCCAUUAGCCUUCUUCACCAUAAUAGUAUUGGCUAGCCACUUUGGAUAUUUUACUUCUCUGAUGACACCAGCACUGAGAAGUCUUUUUACUUCAUUUCGAGCACCUUCGGCUUUAUCAUCAGACAUUUUCCGAAGCCUUUGCUUUCUGGGCCUAAAGGAUGGAUCGACAUUGAGUGAAUGUUCAAUGACAUCCCUGUUGACACCACAGAGAUCAUUGGCCGACCAUGCAAAAACACCUUUGUUGUUGAAUAAAAAUCUUAUCAAAGUUUUUUCCUGCUCUUCAGAUAAUUGAGACCCCAGCAGUACCUUCUGCUCUGCUAUGUCUUCACACAGAAGCAUGGGCUUCGGCUGAUCAGCCGAAGUAGCCUUCUCUCUUCUGUACUUGUACUGCUCAUAGGCUUCGGCUCCAUCUAUAUUGUGGAUGGCUUUUGAGUCUGUCCAAUUUCCCUCAGCCUUCCUGGCAGCUUCCUGACUUCCAUGAAUUGCAAUAGGCCCUUGUUCCGAAGGUAUCUUCAUUUAUAGGUAUGCUGGAUUAAGAAUUGCUUCGAAAGCAUUAAGUGUCCCGCGUCCAAUAGUUGCAUUGUAGGGGUAUUCCAUGUCAACAAUAUCAAACACAACGUGUUCAGUCCUUGUGUUGUGGACAAAUCCGAAGGUCACUGGCAUUGUGAUCUUGCCAAGUGCUACGAUCUGCCUUCCUCUGAAGCCACAAAGAGUGUGUGUAGCAUCAUGAAUCUUGUCCUCUGGCUCUUGCAUCUAUCUGAAGGCUUUAGCAAAUAUGAUAUCCGCUGCACUGCCUAUAUCAACCAGAACAUUGUGGACCAAAAAUCCCUUGAUAACACAAGAUAUAACCAUAGCAUCAUUGUGAGGGUAAUCCUUAAGCUGAAGGUCCUCCUGGGAGAAGGUGAUUGGGAUGUGGGACCAUUUUGAUUUGAUGAAGGGUCCCUGCACCCCAACAUGCUGCACCCUUCUCUGGGCCUCCUUCUUCCGUUUCUUGUUGGCUAGUUCUGAACAUGACCCACCUGUUAUCGGGAGCACCAACUUCAUAGUCGAAGCAACUUUAGCUUGGGUUUUGGAUGAAGCCAUCAGCUCAAAAGUGGAAGUGAGUUCACUGGAGGUGGGCGCCAAUGUUGGGGACUUGUUCUCAAAUGUUAUGAAUCAGGAACAAGGCAACACAAAGUAUUAAAUGUUAAUGUCAUUCGUCCUUUGAAGCAUUAUUUCCCUUAGGAUAUAAUGAUCUUCGGACGAAGGUCAUGAAAGACGUACCUUCAUCAUCAUGAUAUAAGAAAAUGAAAGGCAAAAUGUUGACACCUUUUUCGGGCGCCAAACACUGCGUGAGAACCGGUGGCGGUGCCCUCUGCAGAGGCGCGGACGGUCCGCGGCCAGGGGCCGGACAGUCCGCGACCUGGUACAAGGGGCUGGCGUUCCCUGCCUGACGGCCGGACGGUCCGCGCCUACAGGCCGGACGAUCCGCGCGUGCGCAGGGGCGGCGAAGGUCGCCGGCGGCGCCUGGAUCUCGCUCCCGGGAGGGACCCCGUCGGGGAGGAGAGAUCCUAGGGGUUGUCUAGGCUCGGGUAGGUCGACCUAGACUCCUCUAAUCGACGUAGAGCCGAAGAGAAGCGGAGAAUUUGGGGAUUGGAAUACUAAACUAGGGCUAAACUAGAACUACUCCUAAUGCGUAAGGUAAAAACGAGAGAUAGAUUUGAUUUGAUCGAUUGUUGGGGGUUCAAUCGGCCGUAGCCCUUCAUCUAUAUAAAGGGGGAGGUCUGGAUCCGCUUCGAUCUGAUUUCCGAGUCAAUCCCACGAUUUUAGGUAACAAAUCCCGCGAGAAACUAGGAACCCUAACUGUCUGUGCCACCGCGGACCGUCCGACCUCAGGGCCAGACCAUCCGUGAGGCUCUUUUUAGCCUUCAACAUAUGCCCCCCUGCCUUUUGGUGAAGGUUAACGAACCAAAAGCAUAUGAACUAAACCUGAUGUAAUUCACCGGCUUUUCAAAAUGGAGAUCAUUCAAUAAAGCACCAAUGUAUAAAGGCCGUUUUGGAUUGUAUCUUUCUCGGCCAUGACCAUUUGAUCAAUGGAUCAAAAUGAAUAGAAUGGAGGUGCCCCCCAAUCCGAAUAGACAAAGGGACUAUAAAUGUACCAUGGAUUCGUCGUCAUGCCAUUCCACAUUUGAGUAGGACAAUAUACCAACGAUGAAUAAAUAGGUGGAAAGUACCCUGGUCUCAUAGGAUGAACAGGCGAUUCUUGUCGCGUCGCCUUUUGGGCCGUUUUGUUCGGCUGUUUCGUUUUAGCAGGUGACUGGGGUUUCUUCGUUGACCGAUCACGUGGAACAGUCUUUUUGCUAGCAUUUUUGGAGAGCAACUGAUCAAAACUACUAUAUGUGAUUCGCCCUUGCGUCUCUUUCCUUGCUCCGUGUAGAGGCUGACGCCUUCGGUCAUAGGUGGACUGUCCGGCUGGGUUAGCCAGACCGUUUGUCUGAGCAUCGGACCGUCCGCACGUAGGUGUCGGACCAUCUGUGAUGCUCAGGCCACGCUGAUGUGUUUGGUUCAUUAAUUGUGCCUGCCCCCCGGCGCCUUCGGACUUUUUAGCCUUCUCGUCCGAAGCCUUUCGAGUAGUGUCCUUUUGCGAUAUAAUUGACAUGCGAGGAUCGCCAAUGACGACGUCCUUGCCUUUGCCUUUAUCGGCCAUUUCGGGCCGAACCAAGACCUUUUUGCAUGUGAGUUCUAUUGUAUUAACAGGAAAAGGUUGUGUGUCUACUUGCAUCUCCUGAAAAGCCAAUCGGCCCUCAUUUAUGGCCGAUUGUAUCUGUCGACGAAAAACAUUACAAUCAUUGAUGGCAUGAGAAAAAGAAUUAUGCCACUUACAAUAAGCACGCCUUUUUAAUUCAUCAGGAGGAGGAAUAGUAUGAGUUAAUUUAAUGUUGCCGUUUUUUAGUAACUCGUCAAAUAUUUUAUCGCAUUUGGCAACAUUAAAAGUAAACUUAACUUCUUCUUGUCAAUUCUUUCGAAUCGUCUGUAAAGCAGAACAUGCUGAAGGCUUAGCCUGUCCUGGCUAAACCAGUUCGGCGGUGUAUACAUCCGUGGAUUCAUCGUCUGAAUUAUCGUAUCCCACUAGAUGCAUCUUAUGGCUAGCCGAUUUUGAUGUUUCCUUACUUCGGCUUUCACAGGUCAUAGCCCGCUGGUGCAAGUGCACUAGCGAAAAGAAUUGGGUGUCAUCUAAUUUUUCUUUUAAGUAAGGUCGCAACCCAUUGAAAGCUAGCCCUAUUAGUUGUUUUUCUGCGACAUGGAUCUAAAAGCAUCGGUUUCUAGUGUCCCGGAACCUCCGGAUAUAGUCAUUAACCGAUUCUUCAGGCCCCUGUCGGACUGAGGCUAAGUCAGCCAAUUCUAAUUCAUGUUCUCCUGAGAAGAAGUGUUCAUGAAAUUUCUGCUCUAAUUCUUCCCAAGAGUUAAUAGAGUUUGGUGGCAAGGCUGCGUACCAUGCGAAUGAAGUAUCAGUAAGGGACAACGAGAAUAAACGAACACGGUAGGCUUCCCCAUCAGCCAAUUCUCCCAAGUGUGCUAUGAAUUGGCUUAUAUGUUCGUGUGUGCUUUUCCCACCUUCACCGAAAAAUUUAGAAAAGUCUGGUAUUCUAGUUCCCUGUGGAUACGGCACGGUGUCGAAUCGGUAGCUAUAAGGCUUCCGAUACGAUUGCCCUGUACCUAACACACUAACACCGAGUUUGUCCCUGAACACCCUAGCUACUUCGUCUCUGAUCCUCUCCGCCAUGUCUGGCGACCAUCCAUUGAGUUUGUGGGUGGAAAUCUCAGGUUGCCUGACAUCACUCUGUCGACUUUCCUCCCAGGGAUGUUUGAGGUGUGUGUUAGGUGUCCUAUUAAUGUCAUCAGCUCCUGCCCUAUACCUCUCAGACUCUCUUGUGGCCGAACAGUAUUCAGCCCUAUGUCCAUGAGGUGGUAUGGUAUGAUUAUAAUGUGUUGCUGGUGGGGCACCAUAAUGUUGCUGCGAUGAAUGUGGAAACUGUGCAUAUUGCGCAGCUCUCGGCUCUGCGUACGCAUAUCCGGACGGUCCGACGUAAGAGGCCGGAUGGUCCGCGACCUGGCCAAACGGUCCGAAGGUAUAUCCGGAACGUCCAGCCAUAUAAGGUGCUACGUGGGUAGUCUCGUACCGAGACCGUCUGUCGUAAAGAACUAGACGGUCCGAGAUCGGUCCGAAUGGUCCAGGGCUGUACCCGGACAGAUCGGUCAUAUAAGGCGCGACUUGGGCAGUCUACACGUGGACUCGUGUAGAGUCGGAUGGUCCGGCGUAAUACGUCGGCCGGUUCAUGCCAUAUCCGGACGGUCCGACGUAAGAUGGCGGACGGUCCGCAACAUAUCCGGACGGUCCGGCGUGAUGCGCCGGACAGUCCGUGAUGGGGCCAAAUUGUUUGGGGUUGUACCCUGAUGGUCCGGCCAUGUACGGUGCGACCUGAGUGUUUUGUGUGCGGGUCUGCAUCGGGUCGGACGGUCCGGUGAAACACGCCGGACGGUCCGCAGUAUAACCGGACUAUCUAAGAUGAUGCUCGGACGGUCCGGUCGCGUCCAGUACCUGCCGCGUGCCUAGUGGUUGCGGCUGUGAUGGUGACACGAAAGCGUGCAUCGGCAUACCAUAUGAUGGCUGGGUCAAGGGUGACCCAUUUAUAGCUGAUGUGUUUGACGCGGGUGGUUCUGUUUAGACUCUCGCGAUGGAAAGCUAGGAGCAGCUGAUUUCUCGUAUGCACGUAAAUGCAUUUUAACAGAUUUAUCUACAUAUUGCUUUAACUGAUCUCCUCAUUGAUCCAUGAAAGUCGUAAGAGCUAGAUCUGGAGUACUUACAGCGGGACCCUGAAGUGGAGGUAGGAGAGAUUCCAUAUCGAUCUCCCCUUGACGGAUGAUCUUCUGGUGGCGAUCCACCGUGAAGUGUGACAAGUACUUUUCUGCCGCCUCCUUGCGCCGUUCGGAGAGUUUAUGCAGCAGUUCCGCCUCUUCCUUGUCGCUUUGUUCGUUCCAUUGCGGCAUCACCUCCUUCUCAUCGUGCAUUACGAGGUCUUCAAAGGGUCUUUGGUCAUCAGCCGGGAGCGCCUCCAUGGCCGGCUUGAUGAUGUUGGUGGUGGAGAUCUUGGUGUGAUCCUUAGAACCGGCUAUCUAUGGGCCGAUUUUUAGUAGGUCUAGACACCUAUUCCCCAGCGGAGUCGCCAAAAAGUAUGUUGACACCUUUUUCGGGCGCCAAACACUGCGUGAGAACCGGUGGCGGUGCCCUCUGCAGAGGCGCGGACGGUCCGCGGCCAGGGGCCGAACAGUUCGCGACCUAGUACAGGGGCUGGCGUUCCCUGCCUGACGGCCGGACGGUCCGCGCGUGCGCAGGGGCGGCGAAGGUCGCCGGCGGUGCCUGGAUCUCGCUCCCGAGAGGGACCCCGUCGGGAGGAGAGAUCCUAGGGGUUGUCUAGGCUCGAGUAGGUCAAACUAGACUCCUCUAAUUGACGUAGAGCCGAAGAGAAGCGGAGAAUUUGGGGAUUGGAAUACUAAACUAGGGCUAAACUAGAACUACUCCUAAUGCGUAAGGUAAAAAUGAGAGAUAGAUUUGAUUUGAUCGAUUGUUGGGGGUUCAAUCGGCCGUAGCCCUUCAUCUAUAUAAAGGGGAGGUCUGGAUCCGCUUCGAUCUGAUUUCUGAGUCAAUCUCACGGUUUUAGGUAACAAAUUCCGCGAGAAACUAGGAACCCUAACUGUCUCUGCCACCGCGGACAGAGACCGUCCGACCUCAGGGUCGGACCGUCCGCGAGGCUCUUUUUAGCCUUCAACACGAAACAUAUGAAACAUGAAAGAUAACAUGAACAAAUAUAUGACAUCAUUCACAUGUCUUCAUUAUAUAAACUUGAAUAUUCAAAUACGAUAUUUAAUUAUAUUUAUACCUUCGGCUUUGAUAAAAGGCAAAAAUACGAGUGUUGUGCCCGAGCGAAUACAAGAUAGCGUGAAUAGUACAUCUAUUUAUAGGCACAGGUCGUAGUUUUUGAGAAAUUACAUUCAUUUUAACCAAAAGGGCAGUGCCCCCUAUUUCAUUAAGAAAUAGAACGAUAGAGUUUUUACAACCAACACAGGUCACGAAGCCCGCCAUUCAACAAGGAUGGCACAUGGCUACAUCCCACCAGAGCAACGCCAAAAAAGGGAUCAGGGACACAGGAAUCCAAACUUACAACCUUAUUUAGAUCAACUAAGUCUUACCAAACACUUACUUAAUUGUCUACAACCGACCACUCUCAGCUGCCUGAAACCAACCAUAACCGAUCAAAGGCAAGGUAACAGACAAUGCACACCUAGCAAAUCAGAAGACCAAGCAGUUUGUAAGACAGAACACAAUCACCAAUUCACCAUGUGAUACUUCUUGUCACCGGAGCCCACCCAUGCGUGCGAUUAAACACCUCUCUUGCCGUCUCUCUGAUUCGCUUGCUUCCUGCCUCCAACAUCUUUUUUGUUCUCCCUGUCUGCAUUAGUGCCCAGUAAUCCAAAAGAGAACAACACAUGAAGAUUACAUCAGUGGGGUCAUUAUGGAGUUUUUUUAUUAAAGCAAACGGAAUUUCUGGACUUCCAGAUCGCCCAUAGAACAGCUCCGCACCCAACUACAACAGAUUUUCUGUACCCCUUAUCAAAGUUUCUAAGCCACACCCCAGUUAGAUGUUCCACAUCUGACGGAGUAGUAGGCAAAUAAAGUGCAAUCUGAAUCAGACGCCAAAUGAAUCGAGCUACUGAGCAUUCAAAAAACAAAUGCUUAGUAGAUUCAAACAAGCCACAAAAGACGCAAUCAGAGACCCCAAACCAGCUUCUUUUAAUCAAAUUUUCCUUCGAGAGAAUUCUGUUCUUGAUAAUCAGCCAUAAGAAUAUCUUGAUUUUAUGGGGGAUUUUGAUUUUCCAUAAAAAUCUGUAAGGGACUUUAACUCCCUCACAACUAAUCCGGUUAUAUAAGGAUUUAGUAGAGAAGCCAUUUUUAUCAAGAGACCAAUUAACACGAUCUAUUUCUUGGGACAAAUGAAUAUCAGAGCACAUUCUCUUUAAAUUUUCAAACAUGACAGCAUUUUCACCUACCAAAUGCCUUCUAAAAUUCAACCCCUGAAAAUUAGAAGAGAUCACUUGGUCAACCCUGAUUUUUUGUCAAAGGUUAAAUCAAAUAACCUUUUGAACUUGACUCUAAAAGGAGAAUCCCCACACCAGAUAUCCAGCCAAAAACAAGUAUGAGAACUAUUCCCAACUUUUUUUUGUGCAGAAUUUAUGAAACAGAUCUUUAUUCUCCAAGAGCCCCCCUCCAAAACUGAGAUAUAUUUUGUUUUUUUCCACCACAAUCAAGGGAUUAUCUUUUAUAUAUUUAUGCCUGAUAAUCUUUUGCCACGGUCCAUCCGAAGUCUCCAACCUCCAUAACCAUUUGGUCAACAGGCUAAUGUUCAUGUUUCUCAGAUCAAGAAUACCCAAACCCCCUUGAUCUUUCGGGGAGCAAACUAUCGGCCAAUUAACCAAAUGAUAUUUCCUAGUGUUAUCUCCACCUUGCCACAACAUUCUUUUUCUAAAAGUAUCCCAAUUUUUACAAGCUUAGGGGCCAAGAAUAAGGAAAGCAUGUACUGGGGGAGGUUUGAAAGACUGCUAUUAAUCAAAGUCACUCUCCCCCCAAUGCUCAGAAAUCUACUUUUCCACAUUCCUAAUUUUUUGUUCAUUUUUUCCUCCGUAAAAGCCCAUUUCAUAUUGCUUAGCUUCUUACAGUCAAUGGGAAUUCCCAAAUAUUUCAUUGGAAGGAAAUUAACAGGACAAGUAAAAAUAUCUGAGUAAAGUUCUUUGACCCGUAAAGCACUACCAAAGCAGAAUAUUUCACUUUUGUGAAAAUUGAUUUUUAAUCCUGACAUCUGUUCAAAAAGAAUGAGAAUGAACUUCAAAUUUCUGGCCAUUUUUAAAUCAUCCUGCAGCAAAAAAAUUGUGUCAUCUGCGUAUUGCAGACUGAUCACCCCUUUUUCAAUAAUGUGAGGAACCAUGCCCACGAGAAGACCCUCAUGCUGCGCUUUAUUAACCAAACAAGCUAGUCCAUCCGCAUCAAUGUUAAAGAGGAGAGGAGAGAAAGGAUCCCCUUGCCUGACCCCUUUAUGUGUAUUGAAAUAAGGACCCAUAGUAUCAUUAGUCCUAACAGCCACUUUUCCACCCCUGACUGUUUUCAUUACCCAAUCACACCAUUUCUCUCCAAAGCCUUUUUUGUCUAACAUUUGGUGUAAAAACUGCCAAUUGACUUUAUCAUAUGCUUUCUCAAAAUCAACUUUGAACAUUAUUCCAUUUUGUUUUUCCUUUUUAACCUCGUGAAGAAUCUCAUGUAAAGCUACUACAUUAUCCAGGAUGUACCUUUCCUUGAGGAAGCCUGACUGCGAAUUACUAAUAACCUUAGUAAUGCAUGACGCCAGCCUGUUAUUAAGGGUUUUUGUGAUAAUUUUAUAGCUCACAUUUAAAAGGCAGAUUGGUCUAUAGUUUUUCAAUUGUUUUGCUUCCUCGGUCUUAGGAAGUAAAGUGAUUAUACCAUAGUUAAGUCUUUCUAUAGGAAGCACACCUUUAUGGAAGUCUUCAAACAUGUGACACAAGUCAAACGAAAUCACUUCCCAAAAAUCUUGGUAGAACUCGGCCGGUAAUCCAUCGGGACCAGGGGCGCUGUUAUGUUUCAUGGACUUAACCACAUUAUGGAUUUCGUGAAUAGAAAAAGGAGAAGUGAGAAAGGACUUAUCCUCUUCCCCAAGCCUAACCAUAUCGACAUUACUCAUAGAAAUAUGAGUAUCGUCAGAGGCCCCGAACAGAUUUCGGUAGAAGUUUGUGGCCAACGCAUUAAUAUUAUCUUCCCCUUGUAUCACAUGGUCAUCCUGAAGCAAAGAUAAAAUCCUCAUUUUCCUUCUUUUACCAUUUGCUUUCAGGUGAAAGUAUUUAGUAUUGUUAUCACCUUCCAUAACGAAUUUUUCCCUCGACUUCUGCCUUACUUUUGUUUCCUCCUCAAUCACAAUAUUUCUCAAACGAGCUUCAUAGACAAUUUUCUCCUGUUUUUCAUGAUCAGUCAGGCUAUUGACUUCGCUUUUCACAUCUAACUCCUUGAUUUUAACUGUCAGAUCCUUCUUCAAUUUCUUAUACCUUCCUUCAAUGUUAAUGUUCCACCCUUUAAGUUUUUUCCUCAAUCUUUUCACCUUUUCCUUCCAGAUCUCCAAACUUGAACUGCUCCUUACGGGUUUACUCCAGCACUCUUUCACAAUCUGACCAAAAUCGGGUCUGUGUUUCCAGCACAGUUCAUAUUUAAAAUCCCUCUUGUUAUAAAUUCUUGUACCAGAACUCAAACAAAGGGGGACAUGAUCAGAAAACGUUCUAUUGAGGCCCCUGACACAAGUGUCAUGGUAAGUUAAGUCCCAUUCCAGACUAACUAAGAAUCUAUCCAGCUUCUCAAACGUGGGGACAUCUCUAUUAUUAGACCAAGUGUAGAGUCUAUCAACCAAAUUCAGCUCAAUGAGACUAUUCUGGUCAAUAAUUGCAUUAAUCAAACUACUCCAUUUUUUCACCCACCCAGGUUUAUUUUUCUCCUCAUCUCUUCUAAUUAUAUUAAAGUCUCCACCCAAAAGCAUAGGGUGUUUGCUUCUGUGGCAAAAAGAGGAUAAUUCGCACAGAAAUCUGUUUUUUUCAUGUUCUUGCGCUGCUCCAUAUACAUUAAUAAAGUUCCAAAUAAUUUUUUUUUCUUUGUGUAAAAUCAAACAUCUGAUCAUAAAAUCCCCGACCUCUUGCUCCCUAACAUCAAAGCAAUCGCUAUUAAAGCCAACUAAAAGGCCGCCAGACCUACCUCUAGCGAUAGAAUGAAUCCAAAUGAAUUUUUUCCCCCACUGAUAGCAUCUAACCAAGAUUGGCUGAAGUUCUUUUUCAUAGUCUCUUGCAGACCUAUGAAAUCAGCCUUCUCAUCACAAAUGAGUUCUUUCAAGAACUCAAUCUUGCCUUGUUUCCUCAAACCCUGACAGUUCCAAAUGAUUCCAAUCAUUUAAAACUAUCUCUAAUGUCCUGUCUUUCCCUCAUCUGUCUCCUCUUUUCAGGAUUUUUUCCUGACUUUAGGAGAGGUGACCCACGUAUUUUUUCCUUCUGUUAUUUUUUUGAUGAUCUAUCGACUUUAAUCUAGUCAAUAUCAUUUCCUUCAUCCAGAAUACCAUCCUCUAUCCAUUUUUGUGCAUCACUAUCUGACUUCGCCUCCUCCUCUUUUUCAGAAGAGGGUGCAACAGUCACAGACUCACCCCUCUUCCCAUCCUGAAUUAUCAUAUUAGACCUAACUAAUUCUAGGGAUUUGAUAUGACGGAGACUACUUUCAGCUUCCCUACUAUUUUUUCCCAAAUCCACAUUCAGAAUAUUAGCUAUAUCUAUUAAUUCAGACUCUGAGGAAUUCAGAACGGAGAAAGGGUUAUGCGAAUUACCUUUGGAUAGAAAAGCAUCUUUGGCUGCAGCUCUAGAAAUAGCUUUCUCAGUCACAUUCAUCUCUUCAGAGGAUUCCAGUCUGGGACUCCUUCUUGGACCUUCAGCCUGCUCACCUACUUUUUGCUUCCCUUUCUUUUCAUUCUCCGCUUGAUUAUACUUCUUAGUAACUGCAUCCUCUUUUUUAUCAUCCACCUCUUCUUGUGGUGUGCUUAUAUCAACCCCAACACUUUUUGCUAGAGCUUCCAAUUCUUGAGAACUGAGCAAGUCUUCUUCACUAUCUUCGAGAUUCACUUUAUCAUCAUCAUAAUCUGAGCCCUCCACCAGACCCUCGGACACACUAGACCUUAUUUUUCCUUUAUCAUCUUCUGGAGAAAGGACAGUUUUGUCAAAAUCUGUCCCAACCUGACUGUCUUUAGUUUGUAAGAACACAUGUUUCUCCUCAUCUGUCUCUUUCCUUAUCUUUUUCCCAUUUUUUCCUUUUACCCACCACCCCCUAUGCUGGGUAUCCACAGAAGCUCUCUUUCCCAAGUUACCACUCUCUUCAUUCCAACCUUCCUCUUCAACGCCAUCAAUUUUGAAAAAAUGUCAAACAGGUAAGGUUUUACCCCAACUUCAAGCACAGGGGGGAUCAUAGAGAUGCUUUUGACAUGCACCUUGAACCUCACGCAAUUUUGCAUUUCUAAAGCUUUUAGAUCCACCUCCUCAACAGCACCCAAUGCCGAGCCUAGCUCGCAAAUAGCCUGGAAAUUACGUAACUCCUCAGGAACAUUUUCUGCCACCACCCAUAUCGUAUGCAGUCUUGCCUUGGCAGUGGCUGAAGAUAUCCAUGGAACCACUGAGAUCUUCACUCCUGACAUCUUCAUUUUUAACUCUGGAAAUUGAACCAUUUCAUCCAGUCUCUCCUGUGAAGGAAAUUGCAUGAUGUACCCAACCUGGCACUUGGUUGCUUUCCAAACACGUCCCCACGGGAAAUGGAAGUCAAAGUCCUUUACCAACUCUUCUGCAGAGACUCCUCCCUCCAGAACUUUUACCAAACCUAAGGCAUUAGGUUUGGUUUUUUGAGUUGAGAUUUAGCAAAUUGCAUCAUGUAGAAGCCUAAUCCAUCAGCUGCCAUCCCGACUAUAGGCAUGGUCGGUUUGGUCUGUUUAGGCCAAACACACUUCACCGUAACAUGGGUGUCUUUCCUACAAAUCUCACACCAUAAAUUUUUGCUACAGUCUCUAGCAUGAUGACCUUCAUCCCCACAUUUCUGACAGAACAAUUUCCUUCCCGAAUCAAUCUCAGUAAGCGAUGAUGGGGCAAUGGGAUUAGGAAUACCUGCGCUCUCGAUUUCCCCUGAUGUCGACGACCCCGGGAGAAUAACCUUGGGGCCACCCCUACCCAGAGGUGGUCUGAGCCGCCAGCUCAGAUUCCGAUUUCUUCCCCAUGGGGGAGUCACCUGCUGAUCACGGGGUCCUCUCCUGUCCCAUCCUUGACUCCGCUGCUUCGGAUCCAUCAUCCGGAGACCCUUAGCUCCCAACCUCGGCCACUCUUCCAGCUCGGAUGGGGGUCUGAAUGGUAAACGAUGCCAGCCACCUCCGUAAAGAGAAACGUAAUCAGUGGGUAGGAGCCACAUCCGAGAGACGAAUGCGGCGAGGUGUGGGAGGUUACGGGAACCCACUAGGUCAUUCGGACAGCUAGAAUCCACGACCAUCGGAUGCAAAUUCGGAUGUGAACGACCCCACGUGUCACCCAACGGAGCCUUCUCAAACUGGGCCGUAACCCUGUUCCCAGCUGGGCUGAAAUCACCACCACUGGAAAACGUCUGCGCGAUUUCAACACCCGGCAUCCAUCCCGUCCAAAUUUUUCCUUGCAUAUCAUGGAAAGAGCCUGUACGAUCAUCAGCUUCAAACUCCCAAUGCUCCAGAUUCCUGGUAUUCGACUCAGGAAGCGGAGCCACAGUGAGCGAAGCAUGAAUUGACAAAUGACGAAAAUCGCUUCUCAUCCCCAAUACUGAGGAAUGGAUAAACGCAGAGGAGAAGGAAGGACAGGGGAAACGACCGACACGUUCGUCUGAGUUGUAGAAGACCGAAUGAUUUGUCGCAACUCAGAACCACCACUACCAAAUCACACCCACCCGACCAAACGAAAUGAAAUGCAAUCGACGAACUCGAGGAAAAAAAUGUAGAAGCAAAACAGAGAGCAAUCCACUAAGAACGAGAAGCGAAAAAGGCCUCAAACCUGCCGACGGGUACUCAGACCCACCUGAGGAGCGACCCAAGUCUCCGAUAGAUUCAGCAGCUCGAGAUUGCACACCACCAGACGACGGGGGACGCGAUGAGGCAGCGACGAGGAGGGUGGUGCGACGGGUGGCCGGGAUGGAGAGCCGGAGAGGAGACGCCUAUCAGGGGAGCAGAGGAAGGCGGGAGGAGAUGGUAAAAAGGGGGAUGCGCGAGGAAGGCCGGGGCGGUGCUCCAGCGAGGUGCGGGAGGAGGCGAGGGAGGAUGGGCAGAGGUAGGCGGAGGAGGCGAGGGAGGCCGGGGCGGUUCUCCGGCGAGAGGGGCGGUGCUCCAGCGAGGUGCGGGAGGAGGCGAGGGAGGAGGGGCAGAGGAAUUUAAAUCACAAGCUAAGUGUAAUAAGUAUAGCUAGAAUUUAAGCAAAAUAGGUGUAAUGAUGUUAGAUGAAAGUAGAUGGAUGUCUCUGUCUAUAUAACAAGAAUUGUAUAUACUGAAUUGGGUUCAAGUGAUCCGGCCGAUGAUUAGAUGCAGACUGCUCCUUCCUAGCAUGCCCCGCCCAAACGACGGCCUAAGAAACUACCACAGGCCAAUACGCACAUAGAUCCAACAAACUAGAAGCUGGACUAUUGCAACUGCAAGCAAACGAACUCAUACCGUGGUUCAAGAAUAACAGCGGUGCUGGCUGUCCACGUCGCGGUGUGUGUGGAACGGCGGCGAGAUAAAAUCUCCGGCGGCGUCGGCGAAUUCUGGGUGCGGCGGCUCCCUCCCUCUCUCUCUCUGCAAUGGCGAUGGCCCGCAAGGUCUCUGCGACGAAGGCUCUAGUAGAUGGAUCAUGUCCUUUACAAAGGUUUACAAUCACAAUACAAGUUAUCACGGGCCGAUUGGUCAUUUCAUCUUUAAGUCGGUGCAUUUGGAAAUAUACUCUGAAACCCUCUGAUUAAUAGCUUCGGCUUUGUGCCAGUCUUCCGAAGGUGUUUCUUCUUAUGGAACCUUCGGCGACGAAAUAGGCCCCAACAGUGCGCAACCAAACGGGCUUGCUAGCUACUAGUGAGCUACGCCACGCGCCUGCCGGGUGAUGAAACGUUUAACGGAACGAUGAUGUAUGUAUGUCUGUCUGACCGACCUGACCUACACGCUAUCGCGUUAGAUUUUGCACUGCACGCGAUGCGACGGACAACGGGACAAGCUAGCUAGCUAUAGCGCGCACCGGCACCGGCAUCUAUAGCGACGGCGACGGCGACGGCGACGGUGGCGCGCGCGGGCCAUCUUGCGGUGUGCAGCUGCGCCGGUGCGGGCGGACGGACUCGGCGCGCGGGCCGGCCGGCCGGGGAGCGCGUGGAUCGGAGCCGCGCGUCGCCAUCGCCCGCCAGGCCGCCACCACACCACCGUCGCACACCUGGACCGGCUCGGCGCAACGGACGGUGACCGCCGAGAGCGAAAAGCCGCUUUCUUCCCUUUCCCGUCGCGCCCAAGCCCAACCAGUGCAGCCACCCUCGCAUGGCGGGUUUUUUUUGACCCUUUCGUCGUCGUUCGUUUCCG